rnacentral:rRNA from 1 species
CUUGCUCUUAUGGUGNGCGAGUGNCGGACGGGUGAGGAAUACAUCGGAAUCUACUCUGUCGUGGGGGAUAACGUAGGGAAACUUACGCUAAUACCGCAUACGACCUACGGGUGAAAGCAGGGGAUCUUCGGACCUUGCGCGAUUGAAUGAGCCGAUGUCGGAUUAGCUAGUUGGCGGGGUAAAGGCCCACCAAGGCGACGAUCCGUAGCUGGUCUGAGAGGAUGAUCAGCCACACUGGAACUGAGACACGGUCCAGACUCCUACAGGAGGCAGCAGUGGGGAAUAUUGGACAAUGGGCGCAAGCCUGAUCCAGCCAUACCGCGUGGGUGAAGAAGGCCUUCGGGUUGUAAAGCCCUUUUGUUGGGAAAGAAAUCCAGCCGGCUAAUACCUGGUUGGGAUGACGGUACCCAAAGAAUAAGCACCGGCUAACUUCGUGCCAGCAGCCGCAGUAAUACGAAGGGUGCAAGCGUUACUCGGAAUUACUGGGCGUAAAGCGUGCGUAGGUGGUCGUUUAAGUCCGUUGUGAAAGCCCUGGGCUCAACCUGGGAACUGCAGUGGAUACUGGGCGACUAGAGUGUGGUAGAGGGUAGCGGAAUUCCUGGUGUAGCAGUGAAA